AGGUAACUAUCUUUGUAUUGGUCUUCUUGUGUGGUGUUUUUAUAAGGCAUGGAUUCGGCAAUAGUAACGGAACAUGGAGCAACACUGCAGGCUGUGACCUUUUUGUUAGUGUAGAUGCUUCUUCAUUGUUCCAAAUUUUCAUUCGGCUCUUUGAACUUGUUGUAUCUUUUGUUUUAAGUUGCUUAUGAGGUUAUUGAACUUGAUGUUAUGAUGAAACUUAUGAUUAUGGUUUAAAUUUAUGGUUUACUCGGUUA